AUGCGGGCACGGGCCGUGCUGGGCGUGGUGCUGGCCGUCACCUGUGCCGGAGCCAUCUUCUCCUUCCUCCUGAGACCCGGGGGCCUCCUUUGGGGAGACACCGAGGAGUCUCAGGUCAGGGGCAUCGUGGAGGCCAGCAGGCUCCUGGUGGACGAGUCCAUCUACGCUGCGAUGAGAAGAAACCUCCACAAAAGGGAAGUCAUUUCCCCAUCGCAACUUCUGUCUUUUUCCAAACUCCCUGAGCCCACGAGCCGAGCUGCAUCCCGGGCGGCGGAGGUCAUGGAGGCCUCGGUGCAGGAGGCGGUGAGGCGGGGUCACCUGCAGUCUGGACCCUCCCGGCUGCCCACAGAUGCUCUCUCGGAGGGGCUGCUGAGCGCGAUCGCAAACCUGUCCGGAUGCCUGCCUCACAUGCUGCCGCCCAGAUGUCCGGCCACCUGCCUGGUCAGCAAGUACAGGCUCAUCACGGGCGCCUGCAACAACAGAGACCACCCGCGCUGGGGAGCCUCCAACACAGCGCUGGCCAGAUGGCUGCCCCCCGCCUACGAGGACGGCAUCAGUGAGCCCCGAGGCUGGAACCCCCACUUCCUGUACAGAGGCUUUCCCCUGCCGCCGGUCCGGGAGGUGACCAGACGCAUCAUACACGCCUCCAAUGAGGCUGUGACGGGGGACGACCGGUACUCUGACCUCCUGACGGCCUGGGGCCAGUACAUCGACCACGACGUGGCCUUCACGCCGCAGAGCGCGGGCCCCCCUGCCCCCGGGGCGGGGGCCGACUGCCAGCUGACCUGCGAGCCCCAAGCCCAUGCUUUCCCAUACAGAUCAUCACGCUGCGCGAUUAUGUGCCCCAGAAUCCUGGGCCCCGAGGCCUUUGGACGGCACGUGGGCCCCUACAGAGGCUACGACCCCAGCGUGGACCCCUCCGUGUCCAACGUGUUCUCCACGGCGGCCUUCCGCUUCGGCCAUGCCACCAUCCACCCACUGGUGCGGCGGCUGGACGCCCGCUUCCAGGAGCACCCGGGGUCCCGCCUGCCGCUCAGGGACGCCUUCUUCCGGCCCUGGCGGCUCCUCGAGGAAGGCGGCGUGGACCCCGUCAUGCGGGGUCUGCUGGCGAGAGCGGCCAAGCUGCAGGUGCAGGACCAGCUGCUGAACGAGGAGCUGACGGAGAGGCUCUUCGUGCUCUCGGACGCGGGGACCCUGGACCUGGCGUCCAUCAACCUGCAGCGGGGCCGGGACCACGGCCUGCCAGGGUACAAUGAGUGGCGGCAGUUCUGCGGCUUGUCCAGGCUGGAGACCCGGGCCGACCUGGGCGCGGCCACCGCCAAUGGGAGCAUGGCCGACAGAAUCCUGGCCCUGUACGGGCACCCCGACAACAUCGACGUGUGGCUGGGCGGCCUGGCGGAGAGCUUCCUCCCGGGGGCGCGGACUGGUCCGCUGUUCGCCUGCCUCGUGGGAAAGCAGAUGAAGGCCCUGAGGGAUGGCGACCGGUUCUGGUGGGAGCACCACGGGGUGUUCACCGAGGCCCAACGGCGCGAGCUGGGCCGGCACUCGCUGUCCCGCGUCAUCUGCGACAACACGGGCCUCACCCACGUGCCCCGCGACGCCUUCCGGGUGGGGCAGUGGCCCCAGGACUUCGAGUCAUGUGACCGUAUCCCGGGGAUGGACCUGCGCGCCUGGCGGGAAGCCCCUCCUCCAGACGACGCCUGUGGCUUCCCGGACAACGUGGAGAACGGGGGCUUCCUGCUCUGCAACGAGUCUGGGCGGAGGCUGCUGGUGUUCUCCUGUCAUCACGGAUUCCAGCUCCAAGGGCCUGAGCAGCUCACCUGCACCCGGCGCGGCUGGGACUCCCAGCCCCCGGUCUGUCGAGACAUCAACGAGUGUGAGGAUGGAGUGGACCCCCCCUGCCACGCGUCCGCGCGGUGCAAGAACACCAAGGGUGGCUUCCGGUGUGAGUGCCACGACCCCCACGUACCCGGCGAGGACGGCAGGACCUGUGUGGACUCCGGGAGGCUCCCGCGGGCGUCUGUGGUCUCCCUGGUGCUAGGCGCCGUGCUCAUCUGCGGUCUGGCUGGCCUCACCUGGACGGUGGUUUGCAGGUGCCAGGAAUAUACCAGCACGGACACGUUUCCACUGAAAGACGGAUCCACAGUGAACGCCGUCAAACCACCUGUCCGAGCAGCUUCCUUCCUGCAGUAG
rnacentral:lncRNA from 1 species